GACGAACGCUGGCGGCGUGCUUAACACAUGCAAGUCGAACGAUGAAGCCGCUUCGGUGGUGGAUUAGUGGCGAACGGGUGAGUAACACGUGGGCAAUCUGCCCUGCACUCUGGGACAAGCCCUGGAAACGGGGUCUAAUACCGGAUACGACCAUCGGCCGCAUGGCCUGGGGGUGGAAAGCUCUGGUGGUGCAGGAUGAGCCCGCGGCCUAUCAGCUUGUUGGUGGGGUGAUGGCCUACCAAGGCGACGACGGGUAGCCGGCCUGAGAGGGCGACCGGCCACACUGGGACUGAGACACGGCCCAGACUCCUACGGGAGGCAGCAGUGGGGAAUAUUGCACAAUGGGCGCAAGCCUGAUGCAGCGACGCCGCGUGAGGGAUGACGGCCUUCGGGUUGUAAACCUCUUUCAGCAGGGAAGAAGCUUUCGGGUGACGGUACCUGCAGAAGAAGCACCGGCUAAUUACGUGCCAGCCGCCGCGGUAA
rnacentral:rRNA from 1 species